CCUACGGGUGGCAGCAGUCGAGAAUCAUUCACAAUGGGGGAAACCCUGAUGGUGCGACGCCGCGUGGGGGAAUGAAGGUCUUCGGAUUGUAAACCCCUGUCAUGUGGGAGCAAAUUAAAACGAUCGUACCACAAGAGGAAGAGACGGCUAACUCUGUUCCAGCAGCCGCGGUAAUACAGAGGUCUCAAGCGUUGUUCGGAAUCACUGGGCGUAAGGCGUGCGUAGGCUGUUUCGUAAGUCGUGUGUGAAAGGCGCGGGCUCAACCCGCGGACGGCACAUGAUACUGCGAGACUAGAGUAAUGGAGGGGGAACCGGAAUUCUCGGUGGAGCAGUGAAAUGCGUAGAUAUCGAGAGGAACACUCGUGGCGAAGGCGGGUUCCUGGACAUUAACUGACGCUGAGGCACGAAGGCCAGGGGAGCGAAAGGGAUUAGAUACCCGUGUAGUC
rnacentral:rRNA from 1 species